UUGGGGUAUAGCCAAGCGGUAAGGCAACGGACUUUGACUCCGUCAUUCGUUGGUUCGAAUCCAGCUACCCCAGU
rnacentral:tRNA from 5 species